UUUCACAGCUGCAGUCACCGCAGCUCAGGCUGAGUGCACACUAUAGAGACCAUCCAGCAUUUAAUCACUGGCUAAGAUUUUAUGGCCAAGAUGUGGAAAUACAAAUGCAGGUGAAUUUCUACUCAACCGACUGCAUGAGUGAAUCCAGGACUCAGGGAAGAGGCAAUGGGAGGGACUCAGAGGAGAACCAGAAGGUGGGGUUCUCUACAGCACAGUGAGACUGAGGAAGACAUGAAAUGAAGAAAGAAAACCAAAACAAGAAUCCUGCACCUGUGUGGGUGUCCCUUUAAUCAACUGAUGUGCUCCACCUGUCUGUGUGCCGCUCCAAGCCCUACAUCUUUGCUGUGUUGCCUAACAUCAUACAGCGGUAAUCGCCUGUCUGCCUCCCCUAAACCACACAGCAGCAGCAGCACUCAACACAUCAGAUGUUCCACUUCCUGCCAAACCCGCUGUUGAAAAGAUAAGCCCCAGAAUUGGAUGAAGGAUUGUCUGCUGUGAGAUAAUUCUGGACUUCAGAAGAGAGGAUAACUUGCUGACUGUAAUGUCCAGUCAACAACUAAAGCUUAAUGUUUUAA